GCUGCGAUAAGCCUAAUUUUGGUAAGGCAGUAGUCUUGAAAACUACUAGUAGCCGUAGUGAUACGGUGUCUCAGUUCAAGUCUGAGUCGCAGCG
rnacentral:tRNA from 1 species